UACGGAGGGGGCUAGCGUUGUUCGGAAUUACUGGGCGUAAAGCGCUCGUAGGCGGCUUUGCAAGUCAGAGGUGAAAGCCCGGGGCUCAACCCCGGAAUAGCCUUUGAGACUGCAUCGCUAGAAUUGUGGAGAGGUAAGUGGAAUUCCGAGUGUAGAGGUGAAAUUCGUAGAUAUUCGGAAGAACACCAGUGGCGAAGGCGGAUCUCUGGGCCGAUACUGACGCUGAGGAGCGAAAGCGUGGGGAGCGAACAGG
rnacentral:rRNA from 1 species